UACGUAGGGGGCAAGCGUUGUCCGGAUUUAUUGGGCGUAAAGAGCGUGUAGGCGGCCAUGUAGGUCCGUUGUGAAAACUCGAGGCUCAACCUCGAGACGCCGAUGGAAACCAUGUGGCUAGAGUCCGGAAGAGGAGAGUGGAAUUCCUGGUGUAGCGGUGAAAUGCGCAGAUAUCAGGAGGAACACCAGCGGCGAAGGCGGCGCUCUGGGCCGGUACUGACGCUGAGGAGCGAAAGCGUGGGUAGCAAACAGG
rnacentral:rRNA from 1 species